GCCUCCUUAGCACAGCAGGCAGCGCGUCAGUCUCAUAAUCUGAAGGUCCUGAGUUCGUACCUCAGAGGGGGCA
rnacentral:tRNA from 2 species